rnacentral:misc_RNA from 1 species
GAUGAAGAACGCAGCGAAAUGCGAUAAGUAAUGUGAAUUGCAGAAUUCAGUGAAUCAUCGAAUCUUUGAACGCACAUUGCGCCCCCUGGUAUUCCGGGGGGCAUGCCUGUUCGAGCGUCAUUUCACCACUCAAGCCUCGCUUGGUAUUGGGCAACGCGGUCCGCCGCGUGCCUCAAAUCGACCGGCUGGGUCUUCUGUCCCCUAAGCGUUGUGGAAACUAUUCGCUAAAGGGUGUUCGGGAGGCUACGCCGUAAAACAACCCCAUUUCUAAGGUUGACCUCGGAUCAGGUAGGGAUACCCGCUGAACUUAAGCAUAUCGAUAAGCGGAGGA